AUUGAACGCUGGCGGCAUGCCUUACACAUGCAAGUCGAACGGUAACGGGCCUUCGGGUGCCGACGAGUGGCGAACGGGUGAGUAAUACAUCGGAACGUGCCCGAUCGUGGGGGAUAACGAGGCGAAAGCUUUGCUAAUACCGCAUACGAUCUACGGAUGAAAGCAGGGGACCGCAAGGCCUUGCGCGGACGGAGCGGCCGGUGGCAGAUUAGGUAGUUGGUGGGAUAAAAGCUUACCAAGCCGACGAUCUGUAGCUGGUCUGAGAGGAUGAUCAGCCACACUGGGACUGAGACACGGCCCAGACUCCUACGGGAGGCAGCAGUGGGGAAUUUUGGACAAUGGGCGCAAGCCUGAUCCAGCCAUGCCGCGUGCAGGAUGAAGGCCUUCGGGUUGUAAACUGCUUUUGUACGGAACGAAAAGCCUUCUUUUAAUACAGGAGGGUCAUGACGGUACCGUAAGAAUAAGCACCGGCUAACUACGUG
rnacentral:rRNA from 1 species